ensembl:lncRNA
CCUCAGCGCGUGAAAAGAGUCGGGAUGCUGUGAGGGAAAGACGGCGACGGCAGCAAGCGGUCUCUAGAGCUUGAGGAGCUGCUGCAGAAGAAAGAAGAAGAAGCAGCGUGGGGACCUGGGCGGCAGGAGCGAGCAAGCAAGAAGAGGAAGCGGAAGCGUGCAGAUGCGGGGGGGAAGGAGAGAGGCUCCCUGGGCAAAGCACCUGUCCCGUUAGCGGGGGCACAGUCACGUUUGAGUUGAGCGCUGCCGGCGCCUCUGGCGUCCCGGCGGGCUUUGUGCUGGGCGACCUCCCUGUAAGCAGGGCUCGGGUCUUUGCUGUAGUUGGCCUUUUGCCUUGCUGCUCCUUUGGCUGCCUGGGGAGCGUGGCCCCCUGUAACGGAGGGCGAGAGCCACCUCUCCGCACCUGAGUGGGAAAUGGAGCUCGCCGGACCCCGAGGCCACCCUGUAAGCAGGGUAGUGCCGUUUCCCUGCCCCUCUUGGUCCUCCGGCCCCUCGGCAUCGUUGCCUGAUGGUGGCCUGUCAACGCGACGGCCCCGUACUCGGGGUGCGCGCCACAGCAUUUGGCAUUUGGCCUUUGGCUUUACCCGAGAAGCCCCAUGGCACGUUGAGGUCUGUGGCCUCCGUGCAGCCUAGGGACAGGUCACAGGCUCUUGUCUGUUGCCCGUGGUUGUGGGUUAAUUCCCAGGUGUUGGCUGUGCUGCGUUGUCCUUCCCUUCUGGAAAGUCGUGCCUGUGUGUGCGUGUUCCCCUUCCUUUCCUUGUUUGUGUUUGUGGAGUGGUUGAGCGGGUGUGCUUUCCCUUUAGGCCUCCACAAAGAUGGCUGCAGCUUAGCUUUGACUUCCCGGGGGGGAAUGGAGGACUUUGGUGCAUGCCGCAAAAGGGGUGUUCCCUCUUAGUCCUGCGAGCGCAGCGAGUGUCCUGUCUUCCUACUAUUUUCCUUAGUGCAGAUCAGAGCCACACGGUAGUUCUGUGGCCAAGGCCUCCCUGUAGCCAGGGCUUGGGCCUGUCCUUGCGUGGCCGCCUGUCCUGCUGGCGGCGGUGACAGCCCCGUACUCGGGGUGUGUGUCCCAAGCUUCGGAGCCCUCUGUCCCUGAGCAGCCCGCCCGCCCUGUAAUCAGGUGUGGGGAGGCUGCAGCGUUGCAGCCGGCUGCUUUAGCCGUCCAGCUGGUGGGAGUGACCCCUCCCUGUCCCGUCAGAGGGUGCAGGUUGAGGUGCUGUUUGUGUGUGGGGUGACCUCCCCGCUCGGUGGGUCGAGGUAGCUCCCUGGGCUUCCAAAGACGAGACGUUGGUGAUGUUCUGCUGCUGCCGGGCGGGCCAGCCUGUAACUCAGGCGUUGGCGGGAGCCUCGUGCUCCGCGGGGCUUCUUGAAGAGGGUGAGGUGUGGGGGUACCGUCCUGUAGGCAGGGCUGUGUGUGCCCCCCGUGUGUGCUUGGUGAGCUGCGUUCUGAGAGACCCCCUGUACUCAGGUGGGAAUGUGGCCCCGGCCUUUCAGAGGCGCGGGGCCGUGAGAUGCGGGGUGGGGCUUGCGCCCUCCCUGGAAUCGGGGCUGGGAUCCCGACUGCGGCCUUUGGCCGUGCCGCCCCGCUGCCUGGCUGCUGAGAGUUGCUCCUGCCGCUGGGGGGGAAACCGAGCUCUGUGGCUCCAGGGGUGUUGUCCACCCGCCUGUAAUCAGGGUCUGGGUGCGCGAGCGUUUGUGCUCUGCUGGCAGCCUGUGUGGGGUGACCGCCCCGCUAGCGGGGUGUGGGUCGAGGUGCCCCGGACUGGGAGAGAAGGAGCCUCCCUCGGCCGUAGGGAUGGGGGCUGCCCUGUAAGUCAGGGAGCAUCUGUGUCCCGGAGUCCCAGGCCCUUUUCGAUGGCGGCAGUGGCCGGGGGUCCCCUGUAAGCAGGGAAGCUGACUCUUUGGCUGCUGCUUUUUGUGUGCCCAGCCCCAUUUGCCCAGUCUGCCCGCCUCUGUGAUCCCCCGCAGCACUGGCUGGAAGUCCGCCGCGUGUCAGUGAG